CGCUUCCCAGGUGAGGCAAUGCCUCGCCCUGCUUCGGCUCGUGCACGUUGCGCACACCCACUGGCCUGCGCCCACUGUCUGGCACUCCCUAGUGAGAUGAACCCGGUACCUCAGAUGGAAAUGCAGAAAUCACCUGUCUUCUGCGUCGCUCACACUGGGAGCUGUAGACCGGAGCUGUUCCUAUUCGGCCAUCUUGGCUCCUCCUCUAUCUACACAUCUUUGAAAGAUGGCACCUUCUCACUGUGUCCUCAGAUGGCAGAGAAGAGGAAGCUAACUCUCUUGGGACUCUUAUUGGCAUGUAUUGAGUACCUGUAAUGGAUCAGACAUGGUGCUAGGCACUUGGGACACCAUGGUCAGCAAUUCCAAAGGGGGAUCUAUGGAAUAAAGAGAACUAACUCAUAUCACAGCCAUCUGGUGAGAAGUCCUAUACACAGCUCUGUUUUCUUCCUUUUCUCUCAUACGUCAUCUACCACUGACUUCCAGCUCCAUGAGCACUUUUCUGAGGCUGAGGCUUGCCAUGUGGAACUUUUUGCACAAAUACUGCCACUCGUCACUUACUGUGCCCACCAUGUUUGACACCGGCUUUCCUUAUCCAUGAAUGACUUAACACCAAGACUCAUUCACUCAGAAUGGUUGAGGCUCAGGUCUUCCUCUUCUCCACUGCUUUUGUCGAACGUGUUCAAAAGGAUUUGAAACCAACUAUUGGAGGAAGAAAAUCAAUCACUCUCCUUUGUCUCCUAUUGGGACCACUGCCCCACCCCCCCCAACAAAAGGAUAAAUUCCUGGAAAGUGUAAAGGGAAGAAAGCCCCUCCAUUGGGAAAUAGGUUGGUGUCAGGCUACUUGCUUGUCUGAUUCUUCACAAUGAUAAAGGCCAGCAGAGAAAGUUCAGUGCAAAAGUUCAUCAGCCACCAGGCCAUCAGGAGCAUCUAUUGAUCAAAUCAAAUGUUCACUUCAAACUGCGUUUCUUAACCUGCAGGUGUAGAAUCACCCAUAACAGAUACAGUCACACCUAUCUCUGCACAUACUUGUACGUUCAGGACAACCUGAUGUAUUACAAUUAACAACAUGGUGUCAGUACUGCAGAAGGAUUCACUUGUAUAAAAUAUCCACCAGAGAAAUCGCCUGGAAGUUACUUUCUAAUCUCCUUGACUCUUCCUCGGUACCUUGUGGAAUAGAUGUGGGCUGGGGUAUAGCUUCUGGAUGGUCAUAUAAAUUGAACAGAGGAUAAGUGGAGCCCUUUUUUCAUCUCUUCCAAAAUAUGAAACAUUGCACUGAUCUCGGUGGAAAUAAAUGCCAAAGAGGUAAGUGUUUCAAGAAAUGAAAGCCUUUUUUUAUCUAAAAUAAUUCAUUUGUGUCUUAUUUAUUUCAACAACAGCUUUAAGCUCCUAGAACACGCUGUGUCAAGCACUAUGCUAACCAGGUACAUUCAGAAAAGCCUGAUACAAUAUAAUAAAAUGCCCUCAAAUAAUUCAAAGCCCAAGUAUUUUGUAUGAGUCAAUGGAGAGAAAGGGCAGUCAUGGCAGCAAGAAAUGUAACUGAAUAUCUAAACUAUUGAGAAAUUGUGAUAUAAGGCCUUUCAUGGGUCCUGUGCUCCUGCCCAACUCUUACAUCUGCAAAGUUUAAAUGUAGAACUUGGGGUGAUUUUUCCACGGAGCACACAUGAUGUUUCCCCUAAAAUGAGAGAGGAUUUCUACCAACUAAAGAUAUUCUAAUUCCUACAUCAAAAGUUCAUUGAAACUUUUUUUUUUUUUUUUGAGACAGUCUUGCUCUGUCGCCCAGUCUGGAGUGCAAUGGCGGGAUCUCAGUUCAACCCAACCUCCGCCUCCCAGGUUCAAGGGAUUCUCUUGCCUCAGCCUCCCCAGUAGCUAUGAUUACAGGCACCCGCCACCAUGCCCAGCUAAUUUUUGUAUUCUUAGUAGAGACGGGGUUUCACCAUGUGGGUCUUGAACUCCUAAGCUCAGGUGAUCCACCCGCCUCGACCUCCCAAAGUGCUGGGAUUACAGGCGUGAGCCACCCAUUGAAACUUAAUAUGGAGGAAAGCACUGUGUUUGGGGUUGGAAGGAUAUAAAGGGAAUCAAGUAGGAUCUCUGCACUCUGGUAGUUUGAUGCCUUGUCCUCAUGGGAUUCACAGAGCAGUCAAGGAGACCAAAAUAAUUGCUCGCUAGAGGUAGAAACUUCACAUUUGGAAGCACAGAGAAUCAGGAAAACUCUAAAGUGGAAGCAAAAAGUUUCAGCUCAUUUUAAAAUUUGAUUCUAAUUUCGACGAGCGAUCGCUUGAGAUGGAAGUGACAUCCAUCCUGUCCUACAGGGCAGGCAGAUGCAGCUUGUUACAGGAGGCCAGCUUAAGAGAAGAUGAGAAUUGAUUUCCUUACAGAGCAAUGUUAACAAUUUUGCAACUUAAUUGUAAUUCUUAAAGUCAGAUCAUUUAAGAGCGGAGGAAAAGAUUUUUCUGGAGAAGAAGCUCAAUUUAAUAAAUCCUUUGCCGAGGGAUUUGCUCAAACUUUUGGUACUCACCCAAGCAUUUGUCUGAAAAGAGUUUUGUCUUCUCUCGCCAUUGUUGCAAGAUACUGGUAAGGAAAGCUGUUUGAACUUCCUCAAAACAUCAACAUUUAAUACUCCUUAAGUUUCCAACAGGAAAACGAGGUCUGCAUUAACUGUGCUUUCUCACUGCCCCGGUCUGAGUGCCUGUUACCACGGCUCCCAAAGGCAUCAGGAUAAGUAAACCCAGGAGUGGUGAAGCCUGAUCUCUCCAUCAAUCUCAAGUUACUAUUGACUCAAGGUUCAUUCUAACUCCACCAUAACCCAAUUUUUAAAAACAAAAAUGUCUUUGCUGAGAUAAUAAAGAAGAAACAUCAUGAGUUUCUACAAAUACCUUCAAAAGACAGAAUCCAAACAGAGUUCUCCCAGCCUUCCAAUCACUGCUGCUAUCCAACUUUGGCCACCAUUUGGAGAGCAGGUUGGAAACAGGAUGGGCAAGAUUGAACAGGAGGAAGGCCAUGCUCCCAUGCAUGUGAAAAGACCAUGGACACACACAAAAGCACACUCAACUGCAUCUUGAUACCUCCCAAAAGCAAACUCCUGCAGAGAACUUCAGGAUGAACAUAUGUUUGCUUCAUUACGGAGCUUAGGAUAUUCUAUACCUAUCUGAACUUCUGAACUAUACAGAUCAGUUAGACGGCUUCAAAUCAUCAUGGUGCUUUUUUAGGAAUUCCAAAUUACUGAUGCUAUAAGGAUUCUGCCAUAUUCUCAUUCCCUUUCUCAUUCCCAAGGGUCCUGAGAAAUUAUGCAUUUGGGUCAUUCCCAAAAUGCAUGAUUUCUCAGGACCCUUGGGAAUCACCAUUGUUAUUUUUUGGGAAUCCUAAAUUACUGAUGCUAUAAGGGUCCUGAGAAAUCAUGCGUUCUACUAGUUUUUAAUUUGGGCAUGGGAGAAAGGUAUUUGAGCACAUAAUGAAAGCCAGAGGCCCUUUCUCUAGUUAACAGUUGUAUAUACACAUACACAAGCAAAGGAGCAAAAUUUUGUGUACAAAUCUCAAAUCUCCCAGAUCUCCUGAAGUCCACCCAUGAUUAUCCUGGUGGGGCAUGAACCCCAGCUGAGAUCAUGUGAUCUAACCAACCCCAUAUUUUUUUAAAUUAAAAAAAUUAAAAACCUGAAGUCCAAAAGGAUUCCAGCAAGAUUAAGUAACUUGCUCAACAAAACACAUUUGUCAACUGGGAACGAAACCCAUAUCAUCUGACUCCUAGUUAAAUUCUAUUUCCCCUAGUAACUUGUUUUUCUGUCUUCCAUUGUCUUCGUGGUAAAACAGGAUGUUACUUGCCUACUUCAUGGGAUUCUUAGAUGGAAUAUUUACUAAAACUUUUGCACAUCAUAAAUAUUUGGGCCAGACAUAGUGGCUUACACCUGUAAUCUCAGCACUUUGGGAGGCCAAAAAAUAGGAGGAUUACUUGAUUCCAGGAGUUUGAGACCAGCCUUGGCAACAUGGUGAAACCGCAUCUCUACAAUACAAAAAUUAGCUGGGUGUGGUGGCACAAGCCUGUAGUCUCGGCUACCCAGGAGACUGAGGCGGGAGGAUCAUCUGAGCCCAGGAGGCAGAGGUUGCAGUGAGCAGAGAUCGCACCACUGUACUCCAGUGCACUCCAGCUCAGGCAACAGAGUGAGACCCUGUCUCAAAAAAUAAUUAAUUAAUUAAUAUUUGCAAGUAAUUCCUCCCCACAAAACUUGAAUGUUUGUCAUUAUUUGCAUGAUAUUAAUAACAGCUACCCUCAUUACAGAUGAAUUAGGCAAAUCAUCUUUUUUAAAAAAAAAAAAAACCUUGUAGUGUUAUUAUUACUAGGCAAAUAGUCGUUAGUAUACAACAGUUCUUACAUUGUGUACUCAGAUUUGGUUAUGAUAAACUCAACACAGCUACAGCCUAAAUGAAUUUAUAUAAAACACUGACAGAGGCUAAAGUUAUUAUAGCUUUAGUCCCAUUUCUAUUUAGAAGAGUGUAGAAAUAUUUUUCCUCAGGAGAAAAAAAAUGAAAUGUAGACAUGAUUUGGGGUUUGGGGGGUGUUUCGUGUUUGGUUUUCCCAGGUGCCCCAAAUUAAACUAACUCACACUUUCUGGCUAUCACUCAAACUGAGUUGACUUGGCUACUGCUUUCCCAGAUCCUCUAAAAACUAAAGGAUUUUCUUCUGGCAUUUUAAUCAGUGAUUAACUACUCCCUUCUUUUUCCUGCUGGGUUAAGUAAAAGAUCCAUAUGCUGGGUGUUCUAGGGAAUUUGUUAGGCUAUAGAUCACAGCCGUGGUGCCAGCCAUGAUGUGUCUCAAGGGAACUAAAGAAGCCAUAAGGAAUGUCAAGAGUCACCGGGUUAAAGCCACAUUAAGACAGCUGUUACGUUAAUGAAGGCCCUGCUUCGAAGAGGAGGUCACUAUAUGGAAAAGUAUGAACUACUGUUUAUUGGUUUGAUCCCAUGUCCUCUGAAAGUUAAUGGGCCAUUAUUAUUAUCCUUUGACAUUCAUUGAGCCAGAUGAGAAUGCUGGGUGCUGUACAAGCUACAUGGGUUUGAAAUAUAUUCUGUCUCCAUCCUUAGUUUUGACAAAGGCAGGAAUGAAAGAGAACAACACCGAACACUCCUCAGUUUUCCAUCACACUCCUUGUCUGAUCUAUUUACAAUAAAUGUUUAUUUUUCCUUACUCACAUUGAGUUCAGAGCUGAUACUCGGCCUAUUUUAAAAAUAGAUCUAGUGCCAGUGGCUCACACCUGUAAUCUCAACACUUUGAGACGCUGAGGAGGGAGGAUCACUUGAGUCCAGGAGCUCAAGACCAACCUGAGCAACAUAGCAAGACCCCAGCUCUACAAAAAAAUAGAAAAAUAAUUAGCCAGACAUGGUGGCACACAUCUGUAGACCCAGCUACUCUGGAAGCUGAGGUGGAAGAAUCACUUGAGCUUGGAAGAUCGAGGCUACACAGUGAGCCAUGAUUAAGCCACUGUACUACAGGCUGGGCAACAAAGUGAGACUCUGUCUCAAAAAACAAACAAACAAACAAACAAAAAAGCAGAUCUAGUAGGUGGGCUUGGCCAGUUACAGAGGACAGGUACCAAAUCCUGGAAUAUAGUGGCCACUCAAAAGAGGCAUGAUUGGACCUCACAUAACAUUUGCAGGUAAUUGCAGAACUAUAAUAAAAGCAAAGUAGAUUUGAAACAUAUUAUUUAUAACAUUGUUAUAUAUAAUAUACUAUUAUAUGAUUUAAUUUGUCUGCCCUUUUGAUUGUGAUACAGAUUUUUUCUCUGCACUGUUAUAUUAAUAUGCAUGUUAAUAUCAUAACAUUGAUAUAGUAAUAUUAAUGUUAUGUUAAUAUAAUAUUUAUAUAGUAUUAUAUAAUAUUACUAUAUCAAUACUGUAUUAAAAUAUUUUUCUAUUGAAAUAUUAUGACUUAGUUAAUAAAGGUUAUUUCUACACUGUGUGGUGGGGAGAAACACUCUGUUUCCCAAUGAUAAUAGGUUUCCCAACUUUAAAACACCAGCUCUGUGAACCUUGGUCUAUCUACAACUCUUCCUUUCACUCACCUUCCUCCCCACUUCUAGAUUACACAAUCGGUUGUCCAUUCUACCUCUGAAUACCUUCACCACCAUCUCUUCCUUGCCAUUCCCACUGCCACUACCUAUCUCAUGCCAUAGCCCCCACUCCCUGUCACAUCAAAUGUGAGCUCACUGGCCUGAAACCCAAGACCUCCAUAGGAUAUCCUCAGCCUACCUACCAAACCCUAUUUCUUCCACCACCCUACCACUCCUUACAUUCUAAUCAAACUAACUAUUCUCCCAAUAUGACUAGAGUGAAAAAGAAAGGUUAUCUUACGUGUAGCCCACCACUUCUACCUCUCUGUGCCUCUGCUCAUAUAAUUCCCUAUUACUAAUAUACUCUCCUUAUGCACCUGGUCCAGUGAAUAUCUAUCUAGCCCGGAAAGUUCAUCUUAAAUCUGCCCUCUGGGCCCAGCACAAUGGCUCAUGCCUAUAAUCCCAGCACUUUGGGAAGCCAAGGCAAGUGGAUCGCUUGCACCUGGGAGUUCAAGAAGAGCCUGGGCAACAUGGCAAAAUCCCAUCUCUUCAAAAAAUUAUCCAGGCAUAGUGGCAUGCACCUGUAGCCCCAACUAUCUGGGAGGCUGAGGUGGGAGGAUCACCUGAGCUCAGGAGGUGUAGGCUUCAGUGAGCUGUGAUUGUACCACUGUACUCCAACCUGGGCUACAGAAUGAGACCCUGUCUCAAAAAAAAAAAAAAUUAAAUCUGCCUUCUUCAUGUACCUCUCUUCAUUCCUUCAAGAUCUCAUCCCUUGAGUUCAUGUCCUUUGCAGGGACAUGGAUGAACCUGGAAACCAUCAUUCUCAGUAAACUAACACAGGAACAGAAAACCAAACACUGCAUGUUCUCACUCAUGAGUGAGAGUUGAACAAUGAGAACACAUGGACACAGGGAGGGGAAAAUCACACACCAGGGCCUGUUGGGGGGUGGGGGGCUAGGGGAGGGAUAGCAUUAGGAGAAAUACCUAAUGUAGAUGACGGGUUGAUGGGUGCAGCAAACCACCAUGGCACGUGUUAUACCUAUGUAACAAACCUGCCCCUUCUGCACAUAUAUCCCAGAACUUAAAGUAUAAUUUUUUAAAAAAAGGUUGGGCAUGGUGGCUCAUACCUGUAAUCCCAGCACUUUGGGAGGCCAAGGCGGCCAGAUCACGAGGUCAGGAGUUCGAGACCAGCCUGACCAACAUGGUGAAACCCCAUCUCUACUAAAAAUACAAAAAUGAGCCGGGCCUGGUGGCAAGCACCUGUAAUCCCAGCUACUUGGGAGACUGAGUCAGGAGAAUCGCUUGAACCCAGGAGGCAGAGGUUGCAGUGAGCUGAGGUUGUACCACUGCACUCCAGCCUGGGUGACAGAGUGAGACUCCACCUCAAAAAAAAAAAAAAAAAAAAAUCUCAUCCUUUCCUCUUCUCAACUCCCAUUGCACUUUUUCUCUUUCUGCACUUAUCAUGUCUGUGUUAUUUUUAAAUUAUUUGUAUGUUUAUUUUUUUACCUUUCUUAGAUUGCAACUCCUUCAGAGAACUGUCUUAAUUGAUCUUAGCAUUCCUUGACUUUCCUAGCACUAUGAUGAUCAUAUGGAAGUUUGAAGAAAACAAUCUCUCUGACUGAGCUCUGCAGCCUGGAAGAGGCUAUUUCUGUAAAAUUCUGUAAUAGGAGAGUUAAUUAGCUGCAUCUAUGAACGUGUUGAUCAAUCUAGGGACCAUGUCAACUGACUAGUCCACUGCUGAGUCCCCAGCCUGCAAAUUAAGAAUCUGGAAAUAACACACAAUAUUUGCAGACAAGGUGACUUAACUUCUAGGGUGGUGAGGAGUUCGAGGAUACCCUACGAUAUCUGCCAUCUUUCAAACACUGUUUUACUAGCUCCAGGAAGUAGUUCUUCAUUAAUGAUGAAAACAUUAUUCUAUACUCUAUAGAAACAUAUUACAUCUAAGUAGCCUUUCCAGAAGGUUCAGAGCACCUCUAAGAGUUCAAAAGAUAAUUCAACAUGUUCUUUAAGUAAUAUAAUUUCUUGAAAUGCUUCUUAAUUAUAAAAUCGUUAAAUGAAGGAAUUUCAUGUUAUGCACCUUUGCACAUUUUCAUAAUUGAAAGGUCACAGAGAUGAAGCGUAUGGGAUCCAAUUAUCUCUAGACUCACUUUGCAGCUAUGCCACCUUGGGUAGUUACUUAUAUAGUCCAAGUCUCAGUUUCCUUAUUUGUAAAUGGAGAGUAGCAAUCAUGGUACCCACCUAGGAUUUUAAUAAUGAUUCAAUGGGUUAAUUCAUGUGAAGCACUUAAAAUAGUGGCUGGGACAGAGUAACCACUCAAAAUUUAUUUGCUCUUACUUGUGUAUCACCCCCAAAGUCCAUAUAGUGCUGGUGUACAAUAAGGAUUCCUGAAAAGUUGAGUUAGUCACAUGAAGUGGUGGACUUCUGUGUGUCGUAAAUGAUAUAGUUGUAUUCUGUCAGUAAAUAAUCAAAGUCCUAACAAUAUGCAUCCCUAGUAAAGGGCCAUUCCUAAUACAUUUUUGGGGGGGAUUGACAUAUGUUUUAGAUGAGAAGAUGCUUGUUUGUUUCCUGUCUGGACUGAAGUAGGACACGGAG
rnacentral:lncRNA from 10 species